rnacentral:rRNA from 1 species
AUUGAACGCUGGCGGCAGGCUUAACACAUGCAAGUCGAGCGGGGUGAUGGUGCUUGCACUAUCACUUAGCGGCGGACGGGUGAGUAAUGCUUAGGAAUCUGCCUGUUAGUGGGGGACAACAUCUCGAAAGGGAUGCUAAUACCGCAUACGUCCUACGGGAGAAAGCAGGGGAUCCCUUGUGCCCUUGCGCUAAUAGAUGAGCCUAAGUCGGAUUAGCUAGUUGGUGGGGUAAAGGCCUACCAAGGCGACGAUCUGUAGCGGGUCUGAGAGGAUGAUCCGCCACACUGGGACUGAGACACGGCCCAGACUCCUACGGGAGGCAGCAGUGGGGAAUAUUGGACAAUGGGGGGAACCCUGAUCCAGCCAUGCCGCGUGUGUGAAGAAGGCCUUAUGGUUGUAAAGCACUUUAAGCGAGGAGGAGGCUCUUUUGGUUAAUACCCAAGAUGAGUGGACGUUACUCGCAGAAUAAGCACCGGCUAACUCUGUGCCAGCCGCCGCCGUAA